UACGUAGGGUGCGAGCGUUAAUCGGAUUUACUGGGCGUAAAGCGUACGUAGGCGGCUUGUUAAGCAAGAUGUGAAAUCCCCGGGCUCAACCUGGGAAUGGCAUUUUGAACUGGCAGGCUCGAGUUCUGAAGAGGGUGGUAGAAUUUCCAGUGUAGCGGUGAAAUGCGUAGAUAUUGGAAGGAAUACCGGUGGCGAAGGCGGCCACCUGGUCAGAAACUGACGCUCAGGCACGAAAGCGUGGGGAGCAAACAGG
rnacentral:rRNA from 1 species